GACGAACGCUGGCGGCGUGCUUAACACAUGCAAGUCGAACGGAGCGGCGAACGGGUGAGUAACUCGUGAGUACCAGCCACCCUCUCUGGGCUAACAGUUGGAAACGGCUGCUAAUACCGGAUAGUGGGGGAUGACGCGCGUCCUAUCAGCUUGUUGGUGUGGUAGUGGCCUACCAAGGCGACGACGGGUAGCCGGCCUGAGAGGGCGACCGGACACAUUGGGUGGAGAUACGGCCCAAACUCAUACGGGAGGCAGCAGUGGGGAAUAUAGCACAAUGGGGGGAACCCUGAUGCAGAAACGCCGCGGGGGGGAUGACGGUCUUCGGGUUGUAAACCGCUUUCAGCAAUGACGCGGUAGUGGCAGAAGAAGCACCGGCUAACUACGUGCCAGCAGCCGCGGUAAUUC
rnacentral:rRNA from 1 species